rnacentral:tRNA from 1 species
AAGUCUUAGUACAAUUUUUACACCAUUAAAAUUGCAUUUUAAUAUCAUUUUUGAAUAUAAGACC